UUGACAGAUCUGGAGACUAAAUUCUUCUGUUUAUGUGCAGAUCAGGCACAGCAUGGUACAACAACUCUGAAGGCUUCCCCACACUGUCCCUACAAUAUGCCUUAUUCCUUGUAUAAAGGAGCAAGCUCCAAGGGUGAGGUCAGUUCUUACACCCAUUCAUCACUUUACCUUC
rnacentral:sRNA from 1 species